GCCCGGGUAGCUCAAUUGGUCAGAGCGUCGGACUUUUAUGGGAAACCAUGAAUGUCUGCUAUCCGAAGGCUAUGGGUUCGAGUCCCAUUUCGGGCG